rnacentral:rRNA from 1 species
AUUGAACGCUGGCGGCAUGCCUUACACAUGCAAGUCGAACGGUAACAGGUCUUCGGAUGCUGACGAGUGGCGAACGGGUGAGUAAUGCAUCGGAACGUGCCCAGUUGUGGGGGAUAACUGCUCGAAAGAGCAGCUAAUACCGCAUACGACCUGAGGGUGAAAGCGGGGGAUCGCAAGACCUCGCGCAAUUGGAGCGGCCGAUGUCAGAUUAGGUAGUUGGUGGGGUAAAGGCCUACCAAGCCGACGAUCUGUAGUUGGUCUGAGGGGACGACCAUCCACACUGGGACUGAGACACGGCCCAGACUCCUACGGGAGGCAGCAGUGGGGAAUUUUGGACAAUGGGCGCAAGCCUGAUCCAGCAAUGCCGCGUGCAGGAAGAAGGCCUUCGGGUUGUAAACUGCUUUUGUCAGGGAAGAAAUCCUCUGGGUUAAUACCCCGGGGGGAUGACGGUACCUGAAGAAUAAGCACCGGCUAACUACGUGCCAGCAGCCGCAGUAACAC